CUUUAUUCUAGCAGCCGCGGUAAUACGUUCCCGGGCCUUGUACUCACCGCCCGUCACAUCACGAAAGUCGGUUGCACUAGAAGUCGGUGGGCUAACCCGCAAGGGGGGCAGCCGCCUAAAGUGUGAUCGGUAAUUGGGGUGAAGUCGUAACAAGGUAGCUGUAGGAGAACCUGUGGCUGGAUCACCUCCUUUCUAAGGAGCAUCUCCGCCCCGGAUCAAAACGGGGUCGUGAAGGAGCUUCCUAGGUCGAAGGGAAUCCGUCAGCCCCGAGCGCAAGCGAGGGGGUCUGACAAACGUCUUGCCUCGACCGUCUUUCCUGUUCAGUUUUCAGAGAACCGUCCGGUUCUAUGACAAUCGACGCUGCGGAAGGUGGCUGAACGGCUAUCGAUCGAACGAGAGCGGGCCUAUAGCUCAGUUGGUUAGAGCGCACGCCUGAUAAGCGUGAGGUCGGUAGUUCAAAUCUACCUAGGCCCACCAUUCUGAUCGGGGAUUGAGGGUUGAGAUUGCCGAAACAGUAAGUUCGUCAGUCUGGAUUCUCAAUCCCGAACCGAGGGGCUGUAGCUCAGCUGGGAGAGCACCUGCUUUGCAAGCAGGGGGUCGUCGGUUCGAUCCCGAUCAGCUCCACCAAUCUCCGCAUCGUCAUUCGCGAGUAUCAGUAGUGUGCAUGCCCUCAUCGUGUGCACUGCCGAUCUUCGCGAUCCAGCGUUCGUUGACAAUUGAAUACGGGUAAGUAAAUGGGAUGCACGACGUGCGCUUCUG
rnacentral:misc_RNA from 1 species